AUUGAACGCUGGCGGAAUGCUUUACACAUGCAAGUCGAACUGCAGCACGGGGCAACCUGGUGGCGAGUGGUGAACGGGUGAGUAAUACAUCGGAACGUGCCCAAUCGUGGGGGAUAACGUAGCGAAAGCUACGCUAAUACCGCAUACGAUCUACGGAUGAAAGCGGGGGAUCGCAAGACCUCGCGCGAAUGGAACGGCCGAUGGCAGAUUAGGUAGUUGGUGGGGUAAAGGCUCACCAAGCCGACGAUCUGUAGCUGGUCUGAGAGGACGACCAGCCACACUGGGACUGAGACACGGCCCAGACUCCUACGGGAGGCAGCAGUGGGGAAUUUUGGACAAUGGGCGCAAGCCUGAUCCAGCCAUUCCGCGUGCAGGAUGAAGGCCUUCGGGUUGUAAACUGCUUUUGUACGGAACGAAAAGGCUCUGGUUAAUACCCGGGGCUCAUGACGGUACCGUAAGAAUAAGCACCGGCUAACUACGUGCCAGCAGCCGCAGUAA
rnacentral:rRNA from 1 species